CACACUGUAAACGAUGAUAACUCGCUGCCGGCGAUACAUUGUUGGUGGCCAAGCGAAAGCAUUAAGUUAUCCACCUGGGGAGUACGACCGCAAGGUUGAAACUCAAAGGAAUUGACGGGGGCCCGCACAAGCGGAGGAACAUGUGGUUUAAUUCGAUGAUACGCGAGGAACCUUACCCGGGUUUGAAUUGCUGAUGGCGGUAUUUGGAGACAGAUACUUCCCUUCGGGGCGUCAGUGAAGGUGC
rnacentral:rRNA from 1 species